UAGUCCACGCCGUAAACGAUGUGCACUAGGUCGAGGUGGGUCUGACCCCUUCUCGGCCGAAGCGAAAGUGUUAAGUGCACCGCCUGGGGAGUACGGUCGCAAGGCUAAAACUCAAAGGAAUUGACGGGGGCUCACACAAGCGGUGGAGCAUGUGGCUUAAUUCGAAGCAACGCGAAGAACCUUAUCCUGGGUUUGACAUGUAUGGAUUAACCCCGUGAAAGCGGGGCCACGCCUUUUAGGUGGAACAUACACAGGUGCUGCAUGGCUGUCGUCAGCUCGUGCUGUGAAGUGUCGGGUUAAGUCCCUUAACGAGCGCAACCCUUAUCGCUAGUUGCCAGCGCGUCAUGGCGGGGACUCUAGCGAGACUGCCGGUGUCAAACCGGAGGAAGGUGGGGAUGACGUCAAGUCCGCAUGGCCUUUAUGCCCAGGGCUGCACACGUGCUACAAUGGCCGGUUCAGAACGAUGCAAGACUGUAAAGUGGAGCAAAUCGCUAAAGCCGGCCCCAGUUCGGAUUGGA
rnacentral:rRNA from 1 species